UAGAUUUGCGAACGCAACCCGGAAAGGUGUCAUCGCAAUUUGGAUUUUGUAUAAUUCGCAAUCAUCCCUCUUGUACCUGUAUGACUUCGAUCCGCGGCGCGGAUUCCGCGCACGCCUCGCCAGCCAUCGCGAGCCAUUUUGAUGCAUCAUUGUUGCAGCAGCUGUGCGAGGAUAUCGCUUAUCGGACGUUGUCGCGAAAUGUCAGUCUUUGUAGUUGUGUAAAUCGCGUAGCGGGUACGGUGUCGCGCGAGCGCGAGCGCGAAUCGCGCGUUGGGAUCACGCGAAUAAUUGAAAUCGGAUCGCGACCGGAUCAGUCGUCCGAUCGGAUUCGGAUCGUGAGAGAUUUCGCAAGGGGACAGAGAGCUGUAUGAUCGCGGACGGAGCGCCUUUUAUUAACCUUGACCCGUUCUCUCGCGUUGACAGCAAUUGUGAGCUACUAAAAUGAUGAUUCUACAUGACACUGCAAUAAAGAUUUUUUGGGAGUGAUUAUUGAAUCUGUAAAAUCUCGACUAGAAAAGACUUGCAAGAGAUUUUAAUGAUGUUUUAUAGUGAUAAGACAUUGGAUGAGUCAGCUGUACAUAAGAACACUUAUUAAAAUGUACAUUUGCCUGGGUUAUAUCUACAGUCAUAUUUAAUGUGACACACUAUUGUACACAUUGUACUUGCAGUUUAAGUGAGACAAGAUGAAUAACGAAAAUAUAGAAAAUCAGCCGCCACUUCAGGCCAUUGAAGACAUGGAUCCUGCUUUGAUGCAGCCUGUAUUCCCAGAUACAAAUACACCAUGCGUGGAUGUAUGGAUGGAGAAGAUGAACAAAGGAGUGCUAACAAGUAAUAAUUUCAGAGAAUAUUGGCGAAUUUGGGUGCCAAAAAUAUAUAGUCCUGAGCGUAAUGGCAAUUGUUUGGAAUGGACCGUCGACGAUGAAGUAGCACAAAGAAUGCUCCUUAAGACUCUAGAAGAAUUCAUGUGCGGCGGUGAUCCGCAGAUAGUUUUGAAGGAGCUUAGUAAGAUGGACAAUCCACCAUCUAUAUGUGGCAGAAUGUUUAAAAUGGGUGAACCGACCUAUAGUUGCAGGCAAUGUGGUAUGGAUUCAACUUGUGUCCUAUGCGUAGACUGUUUCAAACAAUCCGCUCAUCGGAAUCACAAGUACAAGAUGGGCACAUCCAGUGGUGGCGGAUGCUGCGACUGCGGCGAUACAGAAGCUUGGAAAAACGAGCCGUUUUGCAAGAUACAUUUAGCAGGAACACAAUCAAAAGAGUCGCGUGGCAACAAGCUGCCUGGUGAUAUAGCGGAGAGAGCAGUGAUGGUUUUUGAAGCAGUGUUGGAAUAUUGUUAUGAACUGUUGACAUUAAGAUACACUGUCGCGCUGCCGUCGAAUCUCUGCGUCAGAGACACGGCAGUUUACUCGUACGCGAUUGAUCAAUUGGACAUUUUCGACACUUAUUGCACUGUACUUUUUAACGAUGAGCAUCACACCUUUGAUCAAGUGAUAAAUAUGCUCCAACGUGUUAUUAAAUGUUCGCAGAAGGAAGCUGUAGAGUUUGUGACUAACGUUGAUAGAGAAGGUAGGGCUGUAGUGAAGUGCUCGGUAUUUCGACAUUGCAAUGAACUGCGUGUCGACAUUGAAAGAUUCACGUACAGACAUAGUAAUCGUCCUCUCAAGGUGCUAGUCCUUCACACUCACAUAGUAGCUCAUCAGACGUUCGCUAUGAGGCUGCUCAAUUGGCUGCAACAAUUUAUAAGUCAUUGCGAGGGCUUUCGCGUACUAUUCAGCAACAUUGCGCUCAAUACGAAACUACCCGAGACGUCGAUCGUUGAGGGCAUACUCACGAGAGAUUCACAGUUAUGGAAAUCUGCCAGAACAGCAUGGCAUAGAUUAUUCAUAUCUGGAAUGCUCAUGGAGUAUGAGAGCAAGAAAGCGCUUGCCAUUGUGUUCACUUAUAACUAUGGCUCUGUCAUGAAAGAUUUUAUCAAAGACGAUCACGAUCACGCGUUUUCGAUCGUUUCGCUUUCCGUUCAGCUGUUUACCGUGCCAACUCUGGCGCAUCUGCUAAUCGCGCACCACGACGCGUUGUUUAUUUUGUUGAACACGUUCGUCUCCGAGAGCUCUCGACGAUGUAAUGCUGCUGGAAAAUUAGAGUUCGAAAGAAAUAUGCCGCACCAUUCUUUCAAACGAGCUCAAUAUAUACUUUACGAUUUGCGAUAUUUACUGAGCGCGAAACCCGAUGAAUGGACAGACGAAUUGAGACGCGGUUUUUUGCAAGGAAUCUCAUUGUUAUUCACACUCUUCUGCAGCAUGCAAUGCAUGGAUGCUGUACUUCGACAAGUCGGUCAGCAUAUGGAAUAUGAACCGGAAUGGGAGUCUGCAUUCAAUCUGCAUAUUAAGCUAUCAUCGGUUAUCACUCUGGCCUUAGAGUGGUGCGGUUCUGACAGAGUUGUACUGAUCAAAUCUUUCAUAUUGCUCUUGAGGAAGCUGUAUGAACAGUUAGGAAAUGAACCAGCACCAAGCCAGGUGCGAGAAUUGGCAGAUCAUAGCGCGACGUGCCUGCAAUACGACGUAUCGUCUGAACCGGUCUCCAUUCAUUUGCCGCUCUCGAGAUUUCUUGCCGGUCUGUUCCUGCACCUGGAAAAGUAUAACUUACACUUUCAAUCGCCCGAAUUUAUUAAUCAAACGAGACCAACGCUCGAACAAAUUAUCGAGCCUGUACUGACGGCGCAGGCUAUGAUCUCACAAGUACACUCGGGAAUGUGGCGACGAAACGGUUACUCUUUGCUAAAUCAAUUGUAUUUUUACCAUAAUGUCAAAUGCCGUAGCGAGAUGUUGGAUCGGGAUAUUAUUUUGCUUCAAGUUGGCGCGUCUCUGAUAGAAAGUAAUGAAUUUUUGAUUCAUAUUUUAAAUAAAUUUAAUCUCCUCAAUUGGGCGCAGCCAUAUUUCGAGGUAUUCGGUUUGAAAAAUCUAGAGGAGGAUGGUAUGCGGCAGACGAUCAAUCUGGUAGAGGAGUUUCUGGGCUUACUCAUCACGAUUAUCGGCGAGAGACACGUUCCUGGUAUCGGUCAAGUGACUGCGGAUGAUCGUCUCAAGAAGGAGAUCAUACAACAAUUGUGCAUAAAACCGCUCUCGCAUUCAGAGCUGAAUAAAACAUUGCCGGAAGACGUUGUUAACCAAGUUCAGACCGACGUAGAAAGGGUGAUACACGAAGUAGCAGAUUUCAAAAAACCGGCGCAAGUAUCAGCGGGGAAGGGUGUAUAUGAAUUGAAGCCGCAUUUGUAUACAGAAUACAACGUAUUCUUUUAUCACUACACGAAGGAAGAGCAUAGUCGAUCAGAAGAGGUUCAACGUAAGCGCAGGAAAGCUCAGGGAGAACUGGAGUGCUGUCCACCACCGAAGCUGCCUAGACUGACGGAGUCAUUUAGUAUGAUAGCAGAUCUACUACAAUGCGAUGUUAUGCUUCACAUUAUGAAAACUGUGCUAGAACGUGCGCUCGAUUUCACAGCCAGAACUUUCUCUGAACCGCAGGUACACAAGAUACUUCAUCUGAUCGGUUAUGCGCUGCAAGAACAAGAAUCUGGUUAUUAUCCCUUCCUCGCGUUUUGCGAACGGGCGGCCAAAUGGAAGAUUUAUAAAUUUCUAGAGGAUCUAUCUACCAGUCCGCGCAUGGAGGCUCACAAAGAUUUGCUCACAUGGGUUCUAACCAAGUAUCGCGAGGUUGCUAGUUUGACUGUUACAGAAGCCAGUCCAGCAUCUUCGCACUCCGAACAACAGCCAAUGCAGCAAACAAGCGAUGGCGACAUCAGUACUAAGGAGACGGACAAAGAGUGGCGAACAAAAAUGGCAGCUCAAAAACGCGCCAAGAUUAUGGCGCAGAUGACAGCUAUGCAGAAUCAUUUCAUGAAGAAGAAUGCUACCUUGUUUGAAGAAGCGAACCUGGACGCCAAUAGUAAAACUAGCGAUCGUGGUUCCGCUAUGGAUCUGACAGAAUCUUCUUCCCAAGAGGGAAGUACACCAGUCGCCCUUGGCAUCGGUCAGACCAGUAGGUUAUGCGAGCAGAAGACAUACACAUGCAUCUUGUGCCAGGAGGAUCAAGUCGUUACAGAAACUGAUCCUGCAAUGGUAUUGGCUGCGUUUGUUCAGCAAUCCACUGUACUUUGUCAACGUCGACCAGACAUCGAGGAACCCGGUCCGUUGUAUUUGUCAGCCAAACUGGGCGUAUCACCGUACACCAGCACGUGUGGCCAUGUGAUGCAUGCCCGUUGUUGGCAGGAUUAUUUUGAUAAUGUACUCGUCAAGGAGAAUCGGCGACCCUACAGAACGCGAGCACCGGCGAGUUUUGAUGCCGAGAACCGCGAGUACCUCUGUCCGCUGUGUGAAUGUCUUAGCAAUACUGUUCUCCUGCUUGUACCACCCUUGAAGAUGCUUCAGCCAACUCCGGAACCACAACCGGAUAUUAGUUUUGAGACGUGGUUGAAAGUCAUGGCGUUGGCGACGGAAUGCAAACCGAAUAAGAAGUUUGGCAGAAUCAUGGAGACAGAUGAUCUAGUGGAUGUCGUCAGUCCUAUGACCGUCCUUCGACAAGAGAUUGAAGAAGCUUGGGAGCCAUUUGAAUCUCACUAUUCACGAUCCGGACCAAAUCUCUCACGAAAAAUGGAGGCGAUGAUUCACAUGUUCGCGACGAUCUUUGGACAAAUCCUACGCUCGAGAUACACGGAUUUUAUCGAUGGUGAUCUACCUUUGUUAGCUUGGAAGUCGACAGCGUACACGAUCCAUGCAAUAGAAUUCCUGUUGCGCGACAUGGACAAGCCAUUAUUAGGCGCCAUGACCUCUCGACAGGGCGAUAGUUUAGAGAGUCUCGUGCGACUGUCGGCUCUUCUAGGCUCGCAUAUGUCGAAUCAUGCAAAUAUCUGGGCGGAUCGUGAAGGGAUUAUGAUUUACGCAGUAGCAUUGCUUACGAUAUUAAUGGAAAGUCCGUCCAGUGAGCCUAGCAUUUUUGAUAUUGAUCCGUUUGGCGUGCUAAUACCGCUCAUUAACUCACUACCGAGUCUCUUUCAUACAAAGGCGCAGGAAGAGGGUCCGAAUCCACCACCUAUCAUCACAGGCUGCGUAUUCGAGUCGCAUGCACUCAAGCUCGUAUUUUUGUGCCACAUUGCGAAGAUUCUCUUUACAUCCGAUGUUUCUAACGUUAUGGAAGUAGAUAGUCAAGAGGCAGAAGCUGAAUCGGACAUCGCUUUGUUCCAUAUUCUGGGCAUGCACUUUGACAAACAGAGAGCCAGCAACCUAUGGCGACAGGUAGAAUCUGCUUGCCGGCCCUUCCUUCGAUGUUGCGCCAUUUACUUCCAUUAUGUGUCCGAUGUACCACCGCCGACCGAACUAACGCAGGUGCACGGCGACACGUAUGAGAAACUCUGUCUAUAUCUGGGACUGCCCGCCACUUGCGAUGCUUUAAUUUAUUCUCAUCUAGAUGCUACUUUAAAACUGAUAGACAUAUGGCGUAAUCACCCUACAGUUUGGAAUCAUCGUUCAGGUACCGAGAAGGCUCUGAUCGUCAAGGAUCCGUUGAUGGUGAAUAAACUGGUAGACCUGCCCGAUGAUUAUAGCGAACUCAUCAAUUCAAUAUCCCAGUUCACUUGCCCGAACAGCGAUCGGGAAGACUCGCGUAAUCCGACGAUGUGUCUGGUAUGCGGCGAUAUGCUGUGCUCGCAAAGCUACUGCUGCCAAACGGAGCUCAACAAGACACCAGUAGGCGCAUGCACGUAUCACGCGAGCAAGUGCGGCUGUGGCAUCGGUAUAUUUCUACGUGUACGCGAAUGCGAGAUUUUAUUCUUGCGUACGCCAAAUCGCGGCUCCUUCGUAUGCCCGCCGUAUCUUGACGAAUACGGCGAGACGGAUCAGGGUCUACGACGUGGAAAUCCAUUGCAUCUAUGCCACGAGAAGUAUCGACGAUUGAAUCACAUAUGGCUCGGUCAUGGACUUCAUGAAUCCGUGGCAAGGGCUAUCGAACAAUCCUCGAACAAUCUUAUGCCAACCCAAUGGCAACAUCUAUAACUCUACUUUGUGGGAUUUCCCACAUCUAAUCUGAUCCGGACUUUUAAUCUGAAAAAAAGAUGAGGAUAAAAAUAUUAAUUCUUACGCUUAGCAUGUGAGAUUUCUGAAAUUUUUUCGGAGAGAUAUACGCGCAGGCUUGUGUAUUUAUAAAUGAUAUUUCUCUCCAGUUCUUUCCUCCUCUCCGCUUCUCUCGCCUUGCGGACACUAUUUUAUCAUUUCAGGGAGUUCACAAAAUUUAUAUUCUUAGAUUGUUUUUCAGAAUUGAGAGAAUAUUUAUCAUAUGUUAUGUAUUUAAAUUAAAAAAAUAUUUCUUUAUAUUUAUUAACGUUGUUUCGUCUCUGAAUUUUGUUGUUUGUAGAUGCGAAUCCAUAAUUAACGACGAUCAAUCAUCAUCGAAUUUGUGGUGUUUCAUAAGAAUUCGAGGAAUUUUCUCUACGUGUAUAAACGAUGGAUUCUAAAUCUCGCUCUGAAGAUUUAGAACAACGAACGAGCGGAAUGAACGACGAUAUUCAUCUGUAUCAUCGCCGUAUAAAUGUACUUCGGGCUAACUUAUAUAUUUUGGUACUUUUCAUGUAGGAUAAUGCGAAGUUCUCAAUUUUACGGCUGUAAUUUCGUCGGAAACCAUCGUGCUUCUGCUUCGAUUCGCGAUCUUAUCUCAGGCUCCAAACAUGCGCAGCUUUGGAAACGUUCGAUCGCGUUUAUAUAGAAUAUAAAGAAGAAGAAAAAUUCAUGGAUACCAGAAAGAGCAAUUCCUUCUGAACAAAUCUCAACGAUGAAAUAAAAUAAUACGUAACGUUUGUUUUCUUUCGUUGCGCUAGUCUCUUCUAGAUAGAUAUUAUUGGAAGUUAAGAAUGUUAAGAAACGCGAGGCAGCUUCGGCAUCGUACUUGAAUCUUCGAUACGCAUGCGAUUCAAUUGAUUACAUCUGUAACACACGCAGAUGAAAAAGAAUUAAAGUUAUUAAUUUAUAUUAGAAGAUUUAUUGUAUAUAUAAAUAUUCUAUGUACGAUUGAUAAAUUUACCGAAACACCUGUCUUUCAUUUUUGUGUGUAUAUCGCAAUAAGAAGACGACUUGUGGCGACUGUAUUCGACUGACGAUCUUUACAUUUUUAUUACAUCGUCGAGAACGUCUUCGUGUAAUUUAUGAAACGGUAUGAAUUGAAUCGAAAAAUAUUGUUUGGGGAUUUGGAAGACUAUUGCGUAUAAACGAGAAACGUAUGUUAUUGCGUUUAUCGAACUUGGAUUGUUAAAUAAAAUUACAACGCGUAUGCCUUGUCCAAUUUUUAGCAAUUCACACGGGAGAUUGUGCCGCUGUACAUUAGAUCGCUUGUAAAACGAUGCAAUGAAUAAUUAGCACACUUCAAGUACUUGUAAAAUAUAAAAGAUAUACGAGUGUUGCAUAUCGUAUUUGUUAUACGAAUAAUAGCAAUUAUCAUCAUAUACACUACAUACAUCACUAAUUUCUUGUACAUUGAUCUAGAUAUCGUACUAACCCACGCAUUGAGAAAUAAUAACUUCUGAAAGCAGCAUAAUAUUAUAUAGAAAUAAUCGCGAUGAAUCUUGAAAAAUAUUCAUGGAUAUAAUAGAUACACAAUUCUAUAAUAAGCAUCCUUCUUUCGAGUCUCAUUGAAAGAUCGUUUGCACUUUGACUGAAAGUUUUGAUAUCGCUAUAGUGUUCUUAAGAGAUAAAAAUUUAUCUCGUGCGUGCGUGACUUUUAUCCUCUCCUUUCUCGAAAGAGAGACAGAGGAUAUAUAAAUCUAGAUAAUAUAAUAUAUUACCGCCGCUUUUUAGUAUAUACACAUGUAGUAUAUACACAUUCAUAUAUAUUUGUUUCCUCAUUUUUUUCUUCAAACGUUGCGAAAUGGAAACGUAGAAUUAUAUGGCGAGAGAUUAAUUUAUACAAAUCCAUAACACAUUAUUUAUAUUCUUUAGA
rnacentral:misc_RNA from 1 species